AGAGUUUGAUCAUGGCUCAGGACGAACGCUGGCGGCGUGCUUAACACAUGCAAGUCGAACGGAAAGGCCCUUCGGGGUACUCGAGUGGCGAACGGGUGAGUAACACGUGGGUGAUCUGCCCUGCACUUUGGGAUAAGCCUGGGAAACUGGGUCUAAUACCGAAUAGGACCACGCGCUUCAUGGUGUGUGGUGGAAAGCUUUUGCGGUGUGGGAUGGGCCCGCGGCCUAUCAGCUUGUUGGUGGGGUAAUGGCCUACCAAGGCGACGACGGGUAGCCGGCCUGAGAGGGUGACCGGCCACACUGGGACUGAGAUACGGCCCAGACUCCUACGGGAGGCAGCAGUGGGGAAUAUUGCACAAUGGGCGCAAGCCUGAUGCAGCGACGCCGCGUGAGGGAUGACGGCCUUCGGGUUGUAAACCUCUUUCAAUAGGGACGAAGCGCAAGUGACGGUACCUAUAGAAGAAGCACCGGCCAACUACGUGCCAGCAGCCGCGGUAAUACGUAGGGUGCGAGCGUUGUCCGGAAUUACUGGGCGUAAAGAGCUCGUAGGUGGUUUGUCACGUUGUCUGUGAAAACUCACAGCUUAACUGUGGGCGUGCGGGCGAUACGGGCAGACUGGAGUACUGUAGGGGAGACUGGAAUUCCUGGUGUAGCGGUGGAAUGCGCAGAUAUCAGGAGGAACACCGGUGGCGAAGGCGGGUCUCCGGGCAGUAACUGACGCUGAGGAGCGAAAGCGUGGGGAGCGAACAGGAUUAGAUACCCUGGUAGUCCAA
rnacentral:rRNA from 1 species